AACUGUGGUACACAGCACUACACUAAUACCUACGUGCUGGGUAACUCGAGCUAGAGUUCUUCACAGUGCACCCGGGACCCGCACGGGUUCGGGUCUAUAUUUUAAAUGAUCGGCCGGGUCCGGGUCGGGUCCAAAUCUAUUACUUCGGGUCCCGGGUCUGUUUAACAUUGUGUGUUAUACCCGUGCGAUCGGAGUCAUCGGACUCGGAGAACACCCGAACGUGAUCAGACACUGUUUUCUUGUAACUUACAACUUGUAUAAUUAGGAAAAGAAAAGUGUGAUCCAAAAAAAGAAAGAAAAAAGGGUAAACAGUCGAAGUUAUUAUGCGAGCUAACUCGAGUCAGAAUGUAUAGCCUACGUGCACAGUUGCAUUUGUCAUUCGUCACCGUGACAUCAAGCGGACUCUUGAAGCUGAAAUAAUGAGUGGAUUAAGCUUGGACUUGGAAUAACGAGAAGAAUAACAUUCAUAACUUUCUUGUCGGAGGAUUGUAAUGCAUCACAGACAGUCAGGUACAAGGAAGAAAAACUACGGCUCCUUAAAUUAGAGUUCUCUCAGGCUGAAAAAAAAAUGCAAAUGUGACCCUGGAGCACAAAACCAGUCCAAAUUGAGAUCUGCACAUCAUCUGAAAGCUGAAUAAAUCACAUUUCCAUUGA